rnacentral:lncRNA from 1 species
UAUCUACUGUUUUGGUAGGAACUGGAAGCUGCUGACCCCUGGAGCAAAUUGGGCCCUUAAGGAAUACAUGUUAGACAUAAUAGGGGGCUUCAUCAGACCCUUUGCUGCUGUUCCAGUAAGUCAGUUUUGGGGAACCUUUUGCUUUCCAGGUAUUACUGAAAUACAUCUCCCAUCAGCUGCAGCAAACAUGGCCAGGAAUGAUGCGAGUUGUGGUUCAGCAACAUCUGGAGGACCCAAGGUUCCCCACAUCUGCCUUACGUCCUCCUCCCCCCCUUUCUUAUUUUUCUGGGGUUUUGAGUUUUGCUGCAUUCACUGGGACCUGUAUAAUACAUGCAUACAUUGUAUCAUAUAUAAGCCUGUUUACAUGAUGAUUUGUGCUUUUUUAUUUUAAAAAAGUACUUUUAUUUAUUUUCAAGUUGUGCAAUACCUCUGUGACAAAAUUUGCAAUAAACUAAACAUAUAACUGUAUAUUAUUGCAUUUGUUAUUCCAGUACAUUGAGAAGAACCUCUUUCUCCCUAAAUUUAUUAGGUUGGCUAGCUUGUAGUCUCCCUUAGUAGGUUAACUUAACCAUAUAUCAAAUCAGUUCAUUCAAAGAUAGUAGGUGAGUGUUUUUCUUUCCAUUCAGGUUUUUUUGUGCUUACUAUUUUUGCUGCAGUAAUCGAGUUAAUUACUACCUCAAGAUCACUGUCCAUAAAAUGUAUCUAAGGCUCCAAUGGAAUAUAAAUGCCUAUAAUUUGUAUUAUUCCUAUAAUGUGUUUCGACUCUCAACUCCCGCAAGCUGGCAUGCCCAUUGGUAAGGGAUGAUGGGAGUUGUGGUCCAACAACAUCUGGAGGGGGCAUGGAUGAGUUAGUCCUGCUUUCCAUGAUUGGGGGAAGAAUCCUGUCUGCCCUUCAGGUACUCUGAAAACGUCGUUUCUGAUCAUGCGUAGGGCUGAAUGAGGUCUGGUUUUCAACAUUGUGAUGUAUCACCAGCUAAACAUCACAGUAAACCUGGAACCCAGUCUCUGCUGGUAUGCAGCUGAAUUGAGUGAGUGGACCUUGUUCUGAAGUUGGCAGCGCAGUGGUGACUUACGUCCAGUAGGAAGUCUUGUGCUUCAUGAGGCGCCUCCAAACUCUUCUUUCCUUCUUCGGCUGUCAGACCAUGUUCUUUGUCCUUUAGAAAAUAUUGAAUCUAUGCAAAGUAUGCAGGCAUGACUGGAAAAGGGAGGGGAGCCUGUAGGCCCUGAAUCGGUUCCUUCUGUUUUAUUCAGAAGCUGCUUCUUGCGUAUGUCUUGUGCUGUGUGGAAUGCAGGGGAAAUCAGUAGUAGAAGCUUAAAAAGGGCAACUUAAAUGUCUUGGUAUAUCUCAUUCCUGAGCUCUCUCUACCCCUUUCUCUUGAUCACCCUGUGCCAAGUUUUGGACUGUAUGUUCCUCAGAGUAGGAACUUGUGCUCUUCUGCUCUGUAUGCUGAAGGUGCUAAAUAAUAAACCAGCAGCCACAGCUCAGUGAUUGAACACCUGCUUUGCAUUCAGAAGUUCCCAGGUUCAAUACUUGGCAUCUGCCAGUGCUCUACCCCUGAGCUAUGGGUGGUUCCAGAGACAGGCCAGUGUUAGGGUGGGGUGGACCUUCAGACCCCUUGUCACGGUCCGGUUCAUGGGCAAUUGAAGUCCCAGCAGGGGACGUCAGGACCGGGGGCAAGAUGGCAGGAUGGGAGCAAGAACGGGGGGUCUAGAAGCCAGGAGUAAGGAAGCCAAGAGUCCGAGGGCCAGAGAGCCGGGAGUCAAGAAGCCAAGGGUCCGAGGGUCAGGAAUCAAGGAGUUAAGAAGUCAAGGGUCCGAGGAUCAAGAAGCAGGGAGUCAAGAAGCCGAGGUUCAAGGAUCAGGAAAGAAGAAGCCCAAGGCAGGAAGCGUGUUGCUGUGGCAAAGAGCCGAAGGGAAAUACUGACCUUAUAUCCCUUCCCAGCUCUUGCCACCAGGUGCUGUGAGUUACCGGUCGGCCUCACCUAUGGGCCCGCGCCUUGCCUCUUCAGAACAAACUUAGGAAGGCCCCAGUCCUGCAAAGUCCUAUUGGUCACAGGGCCUGGCUCCUGCACGCACACCUGACACCCCUUUAGAAAAUUCUCUCCUAGAAAUUAGAUGUGACGCAAUAGUCAUUGCGAAAGCCUUGAUCAUCUGCUUGAACAUUUAGCUUCCUCUUGAGGAACAGGGAAGUGAUGGCUGCGGGGAAGGGACUGCUUGAAGCCCAAGACUCUUAAUCUCAGGGUUGUGGGUUCGGGCCCCACAUUGCAUCGCAGGGGGUUCUACUAGAUGACCCUCAUGGAUCCUUCCAUGUCUGCAGUUCUAUGAGUCUCUUAAGAAGAGCCUUCUGGAGCAGGCAUAUGUCUCAUCUAAGUCUAGCAUCCUGUUUUCACAGUGGUCAACCAGUUGCUGCAAUGGGAAAUCCUUAAACAGAACCCAGGCACAAGAACACUCUCCCAGCGGGUCUCCAGCAACUGGAGGCAGAGCAUAGCCAUCAUGGUUAGUAGCUGUCAAUAGCCCUCUCCUCCAUGAAUUUGUCUAAUCCUCUUUUAGAGCCAUCUAGGUUCUUAGCCAUCACUGUCUCCUGUGGGAGCGAGUUCCUUAGUUUAAACUAUGCACUGCGUGAAGAAGUCCUUUCUUUUAUCUGUUCUGAAUCUUCCAACAUCCAGCUUCUUUGAAUGUCCGCACGUUCUAUUGCUUUGAGAGAGGGAGAAAAACUUCAUUCUGUCCACUUUCUCCAUGCCACGUAUAGUUCUAUAAACUUCUAUCAUAUUCCAGUGUUAGAAACUGAGAUAUGAAAGCCAGGAGCUAAAUGGCACCUCAAACCUAGUUAUGGGCGCCACAAUGGAGCGUCUAGGCACACUUUUUUAUAACAAAAAGACAAAGCUGGAAAUGAAUGAACUGCAGCUAAAAUAUUAUGUUCAUUUUUCUCAUGGCCUAUUCCUCAUUUGAAGGCUGCAAAAAAAAAAACCCAAAGCCAUGCUCCCCCCCCCCCCACCCCGCUUAAUAUUCUUUUGAGAGUCUGUUGUCCAGUCUUCAGAGAGUGGCUGGAAGUGGGGAGGCAGAAAAAGGUCCUUUUCUUCCAGCAGUGCAGUGGCAAUUUUAAUCUGAAAUCUUUGGCUCAGUACUGUGCCCAGAGCUCAGAAACUGCUUGCAUUAAUGAAAUUCCCUGUCACAAAACGCGCCUACAACAAUGCGAGUUUCGAACGCUGAUCAUGUCCCCUCUUCCUUGGCUUUCCUCUAAACUGAAUUUCAGUCUGGAGAUUGGAGAUUGUGCUUGGAGAAUGGACACUGUGCAGAGCAGCCUUCCCAAACAUAGUGGUGCCCUAUCAGCUGUUUUGCAUUGCAGCUAAGCCAAGAUGCUAAAUGGUUGGCUAUAAUGGAAGUCUAGCGACAUUUGGAGGGCAGCAGGUUUGGAAACGUUGGUGUGGACCAGUAGUUCCCAAACCUUCCCCCCCCCCCCAUGUGCCAGUUGAAAAUUGCUGAUGGUCUUGGCGGACUGCUUCAUGAUUUUUCAGCCUGAUUUUUAAUAGUGUCUUUAUUGCUUAUAUUGUAACAUUGUAUUAUGAUUUGCAUUCCGUAGAAUUCAAAUUGCAAUACAAUAAAAUGCAAUAUAAGAAACAAAAGAAGCAAUUUAAAUAUAAUCAAAAAUCAAUAUGAAUAUUUGAUGUGGGCAUGCUGCGAACCCCCUGAAUAGAGCUUGAAGACCGCUGGUGGUCCAUGGUGCACGGUUUGGGAAUGCUUGGUCUACACCAGGGAUGUCCAACAGGUCGAUCUUGAUUGCCUGAUCAAUCCCUGGGAGGUUUUGGUAGAUUGCGGUAGAUUGCUGGCCCCUCCAUCCAUCCCUGCCCCCUCUCCCUGUCCUCUAGAUUGCUAGAGCGGAAGUCGGAGAUUUCGCAGUGAGGCUGACUGUCUCAUUAGCGAUCUCUCGGUGAGUGCCCUUUUUUAUUAUUUGACCUUAGCCCUUAAAUUAAGGAAUAUUUCCUCCCUUCCAUAAAAAAAAGCUCAACAACUUUGACCUGAACACCCCCCCCGGGGGGUAGAUCACUGCCAGAUUUUAAUGGUGUGAGUAGAUCAGUCUUUUGGAAGUUGGACGUCCCUGGUCUACACCAAGCACCAUUGAGUUAGAUUGACCAAUGGUCUGGUUCUGUUUAAGGCAGCUUUUUAUGUCCCAGCAGUGCUUAACCCUGAUGUAGGUUUCUUGGAAAAUUUUGAGUUGGAAAACAUUCCUACUUAAAUCGGCCUAAUUUGUAUUGGAAAAUACGUAGUUUGCAUUGGAAAAUUUUCUGAUGCCCUGCCUAGAGAGUGAUCUAAUUUACCAUGUUUGUUUUACUUGCACUUACUUUUUUUUUAAAAAAAGCUAAAAACCUACGAUCAUGCCUAAUAUAGUAUUUGCAGUUGGCAUCCAUUUGUUGUUACUAAUGAACUUUACUUAAUGGGUCUUUUGAAUUGCCUGCUUGUUUGACCUAGCAUAGGAGUCAAGAGCCAUUUCAGACCCGUGGGCACAUUUGGAUUUUUGAGUGAUUACGAACAACACCCACUCUGAUCACGUUCCCCCUUUCCUUCCCUGAAUCUGUCCCUACCUCAAGAGACAGACAGAAUUCACACAUGCACUUUGCUUUUCCAAGGGAUCUGAAUAGAAGUCAGAUUAUCCUGAGCCUUGAAAAGUGCAUAGAGCUGAAAGAGGAAGUGGGUAAGUGUCACUUUCCCAAUUUCCUUCUUCAGUUCUGUGUACUUUUCAAAGGUGAAAAGGGUAACCAUCUCAUGACCGAGUGAGUAGGUCAGUGGCUUACAGGAGUGCAAGGAGAUGCAGCAGCUGCUGUUUCAUUCUGAAUUUUUGUAACUUUAUUGUAGUGUUUUAUACACUUCUUUGUUGUCCUUAUGAAAGGCAGUGCGUAUAACUGUUUCAUUCAAUAAAAUUGCAACUGUGGUUGUUGGCCACUGGUGGCUAAUUCCCUGUUAAGGAAAAAUCCUGGAGCCCACUGCACCCCAAGCAGAUCAUGGCCAAAUCAGUGUUAGAAACUCAGAUAUAUAAGCUAGGUGCCAAAUGGGUCCUUAAACCAAGGUUACAGUCGCCAAAAUGGAAAGUCUAGUUGCCAUUUGGGGGCAAGAGGGCUUUAAUGUCUUAUUUUUCAAAUGAUGGCGUGACUAUUAAUUGAUUUUCAAUUAAACUUCUGGCUAGUUCAGAUGAUAAUCCUGAGCUAGGUGAAGAGCUUUGAGACCUUAAAGAAGAAAAGUCAUUUAAUCCAGGGAGAGUCCACAUGUAUAUUGUUGUUGUUGUUUAGUUGUUUAGUCAUUUAGUCGUGUCCGACUCUUUGUGACCCCAUGGACCAGAGCAUGCCAGGCACUCCUGUCUUCCACUGCCUCCCGCAGUUUGGUCAAACUCAUGCUGGUAGCCCCGAGAACACUAUCCAACUAUCUCGUCCUCUGUCGUCCCCUUCUCCUUAUUCCCUCAAUCUUUCCCAACAUCAGGGUCUUUUCCAGGGAGCCUUCUCUUGUCAUGAGGUUGCCAAAGUAUUGGAGUCUCAGCUUCACGAUCUGUCCUUCCAGUGAGCACUCAGGGCUGAUUUCCUUAAGAAUGGAGAGGUUUGAUCUUCUUGCAGUCCAUGAGACUCUCAAGAGUCUCCUCCAGCACCAUAAUUCAAAAGCAUCAAUUCUUUGGCGAUCAGCCUUCUUUAUGGUCCAGCUCUCACUUCCAUACAUCACUACUGGGAAAACCAUAGCUAUAUAUUGGUCUAUUCCAAUCUCUUUUUCUUAAUGGUGACUGCUUCUGCUCAGGCUGCACAGAAAAAGCACCCCCCCCCCCCAAAUUCAUUCCGAUUGUGCAGAUAAAAUAUAACUGAUAGACUUCUACAGGAUGUGGUAUUAGUGUGUGAAAGCAGUCCAGAUCCAAUGAUCCUCAGAUGGUGGAGAUGUCAGGCACCAUUCUGGCGCCCAAGCAUCUUCACUUGGUCACAAGUGUUUGAUUGCCUGGUGCAGAAUGCACCUGGCAGCUGCCUAAUUUUGAACACUGGGCCAAAUACAAGCAGUUCCUCCAGCUAAUUCACCUGUUGUAAUAGGUAGCUGUUUUCUUUUUUCAUGAGCUUCCUCUCUGUCUCCUUUUAUUUUUUGUCUUUCCAAUAAAAAAAGGAUUUGUUCAAAACAUGGUGCUUCCAACAUUGCAUUCUUGAAAUUUGAAUGCAUGCAGUAUCAGGAUGUACUAGCAAAGCAGUAGUUUUGUUGUUGUUCAGAAAUCUGCUAAUCUAACCUAUACUGGGAGGAUGUGGAUUGUUGCUCAACUGGGCCAUCUGCUUUCACAGUCAGUCCCUCUGUUAGAGGCGCCUGAACAGUGUGGUGGCUAGCUGGUUGCAAAAGGGGACUUCCCUUCUUUUUUUCCAUUUUCUUUUUUAAAAAGUUUUUCUUCUUCUUUUUGAAGCGAAAGGCUUCUUUUGAACAAGUGUGGGAAAGAAGUUUGGAAUUCUGAACCUGAAAGAGCCUCCUGUGUGUUCCCUUCUUCCUGGACACUUUGUUAGCCUUUGUCAUUGAUUAAAUUGUCCUGAAUGAAUGCUGUAGAGCCUCUCGAUAGCACUUUGGAGCGUUUGAAAAUGCUUCACAUACAUCAUCUCCGUAAUCCCUGCACCAGCUCCAGCUCCAGCUCCAUAAAGUGGGGUUGUAAAGGAUUUCUGUGUCUUUCUCCUUGGCCUGGCUGUCGAAGGCCUCACAAGCUGAGUUUGGUGGGGUUGAUGCCCAUCGGUUGUGGGUGAACAUGGGUGAGUUAGAGAAAGAUUGAUCUAGCUGGUCUUAGGCAAGUAGAGAAAUGUGGAGACCCGGAACCUCACUUAAAACAAAACAGUGGACUGGCCUGUUUUAAUUUGUAUGUUUAAAUCAGGACUGAUGGAAUAUCAAUUAUUUGUUUAUUUAUUUUUAUUAACAGCUGGCAGUGUUUUUUAAUAAUAUUUUUAUUAGUUUUUCUUCUUUUAUCUUUUUUAUUUGCAAAUAAAAAAAAUUAAGUGCAAAACAAAAAAGUCUCCGGAAGGUGGAAAAACUGGCAACUUGGAGGAAAACAUUUCAUGAGUUAAGGAUGGGUGAAGUAGUAUGUUUAAAUAUUGCUAAUGGGCACUUUGCAGUGCUACAGAGCUUCAAGAUUCCAACAGAGCAGUCUUGCAGCAGUUGCUGUUUAGUAUUUAUAUCCGUCAACAGUAAGUGCCAAGAACAGCUCCUCUCUCCCCCCC